UCGGGAGUAGACAAAUUGGUAAAGUCGCCUGGUUUUGAUCCAGGAGUUUGAGGGUUCAAGUCCUUCCUUCCGGACCA
rnacentral:tRNA from 1 species